rnacentral:sRNA from 1 species
UCAAUUUUCAAGCGACGACGGGACUGAACUAAUACGGUUAGCUUCU